AUUCUCCUUAGCCACAUGGCCUAUUCUUAGCCAAUCAAUUGGGUGAUGUGGACACUCUCUUUGGCCAGAGAAUUCAUCUUAGGCGCCAAUCUCUUUUCCACUAUUCUCCUUCUCACGUACGUUUCUUCACCCCGCCUCUCUCUUCAAUCAAAUACAUCUUUCCUUUUUCCUGAUUGCUUUCCCAUUUCAUAGUACAGAAACCCUAGGUUUCUUUCUCUGCGGCUUUGUUGUCGAUUUGAAGGUCAUCGCUCUCAAUCAAUCCUCUGGGUCGUUUGUUUCAUCUAUUGCUUCAGCACUGAUGUCAUCGCACCAUCAAAUUUCUUCUUUUUCAGCCCCCAUCCAAUCCAGAGAUCGUCCGCCACCACUUAUUUCCUUCUGAAUUGACUCUACAAGAGGAACCUAAUGGUGUGAUAUGAUGAAUCAAGGAGGAGUUUCAAACACCAGAACGACACUGGACCAGAAAGUUUCACUUGAGGUGUUUGAUAAAUAACAUUGCCUCUCUCGCCAUGGUUCUAGACAAGUAAUUCCCCCUCCCUCCCCUUCUCAUACCUGCAGGUUGCUUUCUUUUGUUAUUAUCGUUACUACACACCUAUAAAUAUGUGAUCAGUAAUAUACAAUAACUUCUGUUUUGUUCUUCUAUAAAACGGGGACUGGUGGGCAUGCAGAAACCUCCAAGAGUUGACUGAAGGUUGCUCAUCCUUCAGUGACAAUUUUGACCUGUUUACUUUUAAUGGGUCGAUUAGACAUAUAUUUGGAAAAAAAAACUUUCUUUUUGGUCUCAAGAAGACAACCAUAUCAGGCAAGUCCUGAUAACAAUGAGAGUUUGAAGUUUAGGUGGCUGAGCUGCAUUAACACUCAUCAUUAACACUAAAUCUGUAGAUUUGAAAUUAAGCAAAGGAAAUCACCAACCAGUCUAGCCGGUAUGCGUCAUACCACGGGAAAAUUCAUUGACGUUAACAUCUUUGAUCUUUUCUGUCCUUAGAUCUUGCCACUCCAUAAACUGUGAGUCUAUAACUGCUAUAAUCUUUUGGAUUGCAAGAUUCAACCCUAUCAAUUUAGGUUUCUGGCGAUACAUUCAGGGAGGGAGAUACGGUAAAUAUGCCUCCAAAGGAAGAGCAUUAUCAGUCACAACGAAUCUAAUCGGUUCCAACCGAACAGUGGUGUAAAUCAGAUGUUGCAUUCUUUUGAUUAUAUCCCAAAUUUAUUAUUUUUAUUUCCACUUGGUGUUUGCGUCAUAUCCUUUAUACAACCCGUGUAACACACGGGAACUUAAGCUAUAGUGCCACGUGUGUGUGUGUUUUUGUAGUCAAGUGGGUUCUCUACAUGUUUCGCAUCGACGGCUGUCUGUUUAUACACACCUUCAAAAAACUUUUGCCUACUGUAUUUUUUUCUAGAUUGAUGUUUUAUCUAAUAGGUUUCAGUAGAAUAAUGUGAUAAUUGGAUCUUUGUUGUUUAAUAUUCUUGAUUCUUCUAUUACAUCUUCAUCCCUGUUUGUUUCCAUAGGUUUUAUUCCUUUUUUUUCUUGAAAGUUGCAAGCGAUGAUUUUUGGACAUUCAAAAUAAAGUUUCCAUAUCUUUUUUUCCAUAGGCUAAUAUACCUCUAAAACUAUUUUACCAUUUUACCCUCACUUCUUUUUCUGCUUGGAGCGUGGGUGGGUGGGUCAUGGCUGGUGUGUGUGGGUUAGGGCUGGUUGGGUUGGAUUUGGUGAGGAUGAUUGGGCUUUGGGAUGCUUGCAAACUGGUUGUUCAAGGCUCACGCUCUUAUGUCAUUGGAUCUCACAUGCUCUCAAAACAUUGAGAGCUGGUGGCAUCAAGCUAGAUUUGAUUGCACCAAUUGGCAAUAUCGUUUGCUUCUGCAGCUGAACAGUCAGGUACUCUACCUAAAUGAGACCAUUGGCGCUGCUAUUCUAACUCUAAAAAAUUGGAUCAGUUGGGUCAAGGCCCAUUAUGUGUUAUAUAUGGGUUGGAUUUACUUAUCUCCGCUGAAGGCCCAGUCUUGGGUUAGAUGCUGUGUGAAGGAGCGUUUGAAGGUCUGGGCUAAACAGAAUAAAAAGGGUCUGGCUAAUGUGUUGCUGUUGAAGGCCGAGGCUCAGUAAGCCUUGAGUAUUAUUGACGACUCUCACACAUGUUCUGGUGGCACUAUAAAAGUCCAUACAGAGUUCAUGAUCCAAAAAAGCCAUGGCUAAUUUGCAAGGUGGACCACUAAGUACUUCUGACUGUAUUUAUUUUAAAUCUUUAAUAAAAAAUUUAAAAAACUCAUUUUAUAGUUUGUAUAGAGAGGAUAAAGAUAUAAUCUUUGUAAGUUAUAACUGUUUUUUUUUUCUGUGA